rnacentral:rRNA from 1 species
UACAGAGGGGGCAAGCGUUGUUCGGAAUUACUGGGCGUAAAGGGCGCGUAGGCGGCCUGUUAAGUCGAACGUGAAAUCCCUGGGCUCAACCCGGGAACUGCGUCCGAUACUGGCAGGCUUGAAUUCGGGAGAGGGAUGUGGAAUUCCAGGUGUAGCGGUGAAAUGCGUAGAUAUCUGGAGGAAUACCGGUGGCGAAGGCGGCAUCCUGGACCAUUACUGACGCUGAGGCGCGAAAGCUAGGGGAGCAAACGGG